rnacentral:rRNA from 1 species
AAUAUUGCGCAAUGGAGGGAACUCUGACGCAGCGACGCCGCGUGAGCGAUGAAGGUCUUCGGAGCGUAAAGAUCUGUCCUUGGGGAAGAAGGUCUUCGGACUUGACGGUACCUAAGGAGGAAGCCUCGGCUACAUACGGUCAAGCAGCCGCGGUAAUACGCAGGGGGCAAGCGUUGUCCGGAAUUAUUGGGCGUAUAUGGUGCGUAGGCGGCCUUUUAAGUCAGAUGUGAAAGACCACGGCUUAACUGUGGGGCUGCAUUUGAAACUAGAAGGCUUGAGUUUCGGAGAAGGUAGUGGAAUUCCCGGUGUAGCGAUGAAAUGCGUAGAUAUCGGGAGGAACACCAGUGGCGAAGGCGACUACCUGGUCGAGAACUGACGCUGAUGCACGAAAGCUAGGGGAGCAAACA